rnacentral:rRNA from 1 species
UACGGGGGGGGCAAGCGUUGUUCGGAAUUACUGGGCGUAAAGGGCUCGUAGGCGGCCAACUAAGUCGGAUGUGAAAUCCCCAAGCUUAACUUGGGAACUGCAUCCGAUACUGGAUGGCUUGAAUCCGGGGGAGGGAUGCAGAAUUCCAGGUGUAGCGGUGAAAUGCGUAGAUAUCUGGAGGAAUACCGGUGGCGAAGGCGGCAUCCUGGACCGGCAUUGACGCUGAGGAGCGAAAGCUAGGGGAGCAAACGGG